UUGUUAAAUCUCUUCUUUAACGAAGCUGCUGGCGACGCAGAUUUCUAUUCUCAAAACAUUCGUAGGACAYAUGGUUGAUCAUCGAGGCGGGGCCGACACAAAUCCCACCAGCUAAAUGAAAGUUACAAARCAGAAAACAGUCAUUUAGUCAUCCCAUCGAACAAAUCCUGAACAGACUUCCUAGACAUUUGACAGAGCCAUGGAAUUAGAAUCGUCAUAAAACUUGCCAGGAGCGUAGAGCUGGUUGUUUCAUUUCCUAAUCAGAUAGCCUCUUGCCCUCAUUAGAACGGCUAAUAAGUAUAACACUGGUUAAAAUCAUUUGUCGACAUUCACCAUCAGCUCUUCAUCCACAGUUUAAGAAGUAUGGCGACUUCGUUCUUAGGUACUAUGCAAGCCGGGGACGAAAUUUAACGAAAUGGGUUUAAAAUUGAAGUUCUUGAAAGGGCUGUUUGGCUCAGAAUAUACUGCUGUAUCUGGAACAUGCUUCAUGGAUGAGCUGACAAGCUACAACAUAAAAUGUGAUAAAUUUAUUGGAUAACAGCAUUGGCUUAUCCAACACUAUCUACCCUUUGUACAACUGGGUCCUGGUCAAACUGUGAUGGAAAACAACUAAAAAUUUGGCAAAAUAAAAGACAAAUAGUACUAAAAGACUAGUAUGGUUCUGUAAAUGUUACUUACAGGACUAGCAGGUGCAGGUACGCCAAUGGAAUAUGGAUUUUCUUGGGUUUUCAUUCCUUCCUUCCUUCCUUCCUUCCUUCCCUCCCUUCAUUCGGCGACGUCACGCCCCUUCCGUAUCGAUUUUCCAGAUCUGGAUACUUCAGGGGCUGGCAGCCCUGCAGGCCAUUUCACACAUCAAUGGAAAAAGGAAAUGUUAGUGUAAGAAAAGGAAAAGGUAAAAUGUGAUUAAAGAUUAACGUCAACAAAGCUAGAAAGUAACAAGAAGCAAAACUUACUCAAAGGCGAUAAAAUUGAUGUCGGCGUUCUUUCUGAUGCGAUCUUUCGUUGUCUUUUACGAUUGAUUCGCUCUGUAAAAUGCAURCAAAAUGGCAAAAAUAAUAUACAAUAUACAGUAAUACCUUUGUUUUGAAUAC